rnacentral:rRNA from 1 species
AUUGAACGCUGGCGGCAGGCUUAACACAUGCAAGUCGAACGAGUGGCGGACGGGUGAGUAAUGCUUGGGAAUCUAGCUUAUGGAGGGGGAUAACUACGGGAAACUGUAGCUAAUACCGCGUACCAUAGGAUGAGCCCAAGUGGGAUUAGGUAGUUGGUGAGGGAAAGGCUCACCAAGCCGACGAUCUCUAGCUGGUCUGAGAGGAUGACCGGCCAAACUGGGACUGAGACACGGCCCAGACUCCUACGGGAGGCAGCAGUGGGGAAGAUUGCACAUUGGGCGCAAGCCUGAUGCAGCCAUGCCGCGUGUGUGAAGAAGGCCUUCGGGUUGUAAAGCACGUGCAGCGAGGAGGCGUUACUCGCAGAAGAAGCACCGGCUAACGCCGUGCCAGCAGCCGCGGUAAUAC